rnacentral:misc_RNA from 1 species
GAUGGAGAACGUAGCGAAAUGCGAUACUUGGUGUGAAUUGCAGAAUCCCGUGAACCAUCGAGUCUUUGAACGCAAGUUGCGCCCGAAGCCAUUAGGCCGAGGGCACGCCUGCCUGGGCGUCACACGUCGUUGCCCCCCCAUCUACUCCUUCGGGAUUGCGGGGGGCGGAUGAUGGCCUCCCGUGCGCCUCGCCGCGCGGUUGGCAUAAAUGCCAAGUCCUCGGCGACGCACGCCACGACAAUCGGUGGUUGCGAAACCUCGGUUGCCCGUCGUGUGCGGUCGUCGCGCAUCGAGGGCUCGAAAAAAUUGCCGGGUUCCGGCUCGGCUUUCAACGCGACCCCAGGUCAGGCGGGGUUACCCGCUGAAUUUAAGCAUAUCAAUAAGCGGAGGA